UACGUAGGAGGCAAGCGUUGUCCGGAAUUACUGGGCGUAAAGCGCGUGUAGGUGGUGGGGACAAGUCUGCUGUGAAAGCGCCUGGCUUAACCGGGCGAGGUCGGCGGAAACUGUCCGACUAGAGGACGGUAGAGGGGGGUGGAAUUCCCCGGUGUAGUGGUGAAAUGCGUAGAGAUCGGGAGGAACACCUGUGGCGAAGGCGGCCCCCUGGGCCGGCCCUGACACUGAGACGCGAAGGCGUGGGGGAGCGAACGGG
rnacentral:rRNA from 1 species